rnacentral:rRNA from 1 species
UACGUAGGUGGCAAGCGUUGUCCGGAUUUAUUGGGUUUAAAGGGUGCGUAGGCGGUCUAUUAAGUCAGUGCUGAAAUAUCCCGGCUUAACCGGGAGGGUGGCAUUGAUACUGAUGGACUUGAGUAAAGUUGAGGUUGGCGGAAUUGACGGUGUAGCGGUGAAAUGCCUAGAUAUGACAUAGAACACCAAUUGCGAAGGCAGCUCGCUACACGAAUAUUGACUCUGAGGCACGAAAGCGUGGGGAUCAAACAGG